ACGAAGAGGAGCUUGCUCCUUUGGCGUCGAGCGGCGGACGGGUGAGUAAUGCUUGGGAAUGUGCCUUAUGGUGGGGGACAACAGUUGGAAACGACUGCUAAUACCGCAUAAUGUCUUCGGACCAAAGUGGGGGACCUUCGGGCCUCACGCCAUAAGAUCAGCCCAAGUGGGAUUAGCUAGUUGGUAAGGUAAUGGCUUACCAAGGCGACGAUCCCUAGCUGGUUUGAGAGGAUGAUCAGCCACACUGGGACUGAGACACGGCCCAGACUCCUACGGGAGGCAGCAGUGGGGAAUAUUGCACAAUGGGCGCAAGCCUGAUGCAGCCAUGCCGCGUGUGUGAAGAAGGCCUUCGGGUUGUAAAGCACUUUCAGUAAGGAGGAAAGGUUAAGUGUUAAUAGCACUUAGCUGUGACGUUACUUACAGAAGAAGCACCGGCUAACUCCG
rnacentral:rRNA from 1 species